rnacentral:lncRNA from 1 species
CGGCCUAAGAUCGCCUAAAAGCAGACUAUCACAAAAAAGAGUGAAAACUAUGAACAACUUUGUUGUUUGUUUUAUAGAUUUUAAAAAUGGCUUGUCGUAUGCUACAUAUUUAGAGUUGUAAAUAAUUUGAUAAAAAAUGUUCAAUCUGUAAACAAUGGACCUGAAGAUGAAUUAUGAAAGGGUGUGACAGGUAUCAGUAAUGCAAGAAGACGCAGAGGUAGAGCAAGAAGAAUAGUGAAAAGAGAGAGUUCCUAAAUAAAGAGCAAAUUAUUGGCACGGGAAAAAUUCCGAUUCAAUUUCCUGGUCUAAACACUCCCGUGUUUAGAGGAAAAGAAUUAAUUCAACAGCAAAAACUGCUUGUAAAUCUUGAAAGAAAGCAAAAACUUAUGGAAUUACCACAAAGUCAGAUCAGAUAAAUGCAAAUAAAAUUAUCGCCAUUAGAAUGUGGUUGGACCAGUGUUACAAUGGAUGGCAAAAGCAUUGAAUCAGAUCUUAUUCGAAAAGAUACAUUUGAAAGUUUUGAAACCUGGAUUUUGGAAAACAAAAUGAUAACUUGUAUGACUGGUAAUUUAGCACGUAAAACUAGAAUCAGCUCAUUUAUAGUAACUGGAAAUGGAAAUGGAUUAGCUGGAUUUGCGUUAUCAAAAGCCAAAGCAUCCCUAAAGACGGUUAAAAAUAGGGCUGGUCAAAGACUAAUGUAUAUUCCUACAUAUAAGGAAUGCAUUGUGUUACAUGAUUUCUUUACACAGUUUGAGAAUAUAAAAAUAUUUGUAAAGAAAAUUCAUGAAGGAUAAUGGGCUUGUUUGUCAUCAUGCGAUAAAGCGAUGGUUGCGAGAUAAUUGGCAUAAAGGAUAUGUAUGCCAAAGUACAAGGAGGAAUGUAAAAGCAUUCUUUAUUGGUUUAUUGCAAUAGUGAUACAGAAGCAACAUUACAAGUACUAUAUUUA